AUUAGCUAGUUGGUGGGGUAAAGGCCUACCAAGGCGACGAUCAGUAGCGGGUCUGAGAGGAUGAUCCGUCACACUGGAACUGAGACACGGUCCAGACUCCUACGGGAGGCAGCAGUGGGGAAUUUUGGACAAUGGGGGCAACCCUGAUCCAGCCAUUCCGCGUGAGUGAAGAAGGCCUUUGGGUUGUAAAGCUCUUUCAGCCGGAACGAAACGGUAUUCCUUAAUACGGGAUGCCAAUGACGGUACCGGCAGAAGAAGCACCGGCUAACUACGUGCCAGCAGCCGCGGUAAUACGUAGGGUGCGAGCGUUAAUCGGAAUUACUGGGCGUAAAGCGUGCGCAGGCGGAUUGUUAAGCAAGAUGUGAAAUCCCCGGGCUUAACCUGGGAAUGGCAUUUUGAACUGGCAGUCUAGAGUGUGUCAGAGGGGGGUGGAAUUCCACGUGUAGCAGUGAAAUGCGUAGAUAUGUGGAGGAACACCAAUGGCGAAGGCAGCCCCCUGGGAUAACACUGACGCUCAUGUACGAAAGCGUGGGUAGCAAACAGGAUUAGAUACCCUGGUAGUCCACGCCCUAAACGAUGUCAACUGGUUGUUGGGGGAGUGAAAUCCCUUAGUAACGAAGCUAACGCGUGAAGUUGACCGCCUGGGGAGUACGGUCGCAAGAUUAAAACUCAAAGGAAUUGACGGGGACCCGCACAAGCGGUGGAUGAUGUGGAUUAAUUCGAUGCAACGCGAAAAACCUUACCUACCCUUGACAUGUCCAGAAUCCUGCAGAGAUGCGGGAGUGCCCGAAAGGGAAUUGGAACACAGGUGCUGCAUGGCUGUCGUCAGCUCGUGUCGUGAGAUGUUGGGUUAAGUCCCGCAACGAGCGCAACCCUUAUCAUUAGUUGCUACGCAAGGGCACUCUAAUGAGACUGCCGGUGACAAACCGGAGGAAGGUGGGGAUGACGUCAAGUCCUCAUGGCCCUUAUGGGUAGGGCUUCACACGUCAUACAAUGGUCGGUACAGAGGGUUGCCAAGCCGCGAGGUGGAGCCAAUCCCAGAAAGCCGAUCGUAGUCCGGAUUGUUCUCUGCAACUCGAGAGCAUGAAGUCGGAAUCGCUAGUAAUCGCGGAUCAGAAUGUCGCGGUGAAUACGUUCCCGGGUCUUGUACACACCGCCCGUCACACCAUGGGAGUGGAAUCUGCCAGAAGUAGGUAGCCUAACCGCAAGGAGGGCGCUUACCACGGUGGGUUUCAUGACUGGGGUGAAGUCGUAACAAGGUA
rnacentral:rRNA from 1 species